AACGUAGGUGGCGAGCGUUAUCCGGAUUCAUUGGGCGUAAAGAGCUUGUAGGUGGCUUUGUAAGUUGGACGUGAAAACUCCGGGCUUAACUUGGAGAGGCCGUUCAAUACUGCGAGGCUGGAGGAUGUCAGAGGGAAGUGGAAUUCCUGGUGUAGCAGUGAAAUGCGUAGAUAUCAGGAGGAACACCCGUGGCGAAGGCGGCUUCCUGGGACAUCCCUGACACUGAGAAGCGAAAGCUAGGGGAGCAAACGGG
rnacentral:rRNA from 1 species